rnacentral:rRNA from 1 species
GUAGUCUCGCACAGAUGCAUAUCAAUAAGCGGAGGAAAAGAAACUAACAAGGAUUCCCCUAGUAACGGCGAGUGAAGCGGGAAGAGCUCAAAUUUGAAAUCUUAAAGGGUUUCCCCUUACGAAUUGUAGUUUAAAGAAGUGUUUUCUGUUGAGGUUUUGGUAAAAGUUCUUUGGAAUAGGACAUCAUAGAGGGUGAGAAUCCCGUAUUUGACCUUUACUUUCAACUUUGUGAUACACUUUCAAAGAGUCGGAUUGUUUGGGAAUGCAGUCCAAAAUGGGUGGUAAAUUUCAUCUAAAGCCUAAAUAUUGGCGAGAGACCGAUAGCGAACAAGUACCGUGAGGGAAAGAUGAAAAGAACUUUGAAAAGAGAGUUAAACAGUACGUGAAAUUGUCAAAAGGGAAGCGUUUGACACCAGUGUUGUUUUUCUGAAAAUCAAUUAAAGAACUGUUUAUGCUAAGUUGUUUAGACUUUAUCAGCUAACUGUUUAGUUUUGAGCUUUUCUUUAAUGCACUUUUCAGUUAACAAGUCAACAUCAAUUUCUUUUGCUGUAAAAAAGCUUGAGGAAGGUGGCUUGAGAUUCGUCUUAAGUGUUUAUAGCCUCUUGCCUAUGCAGUCGGAGAGAUUGAGGUCUGCAGCGUAGAUCCUUCGGGGCUAAAUGCAUUUGUGCUAAGUUAUAACAUUUCAUAGACAACUUGUUGACUAUGAUUUGUCUUGUAGCUUACUCGCUUAUGUUAUUUUACCUACGCUUAGGAUGUUGACAGCAGUAUAGACUGU